rnacentral:rRNA from 1 species
UACAGGGGGUGCAAACGUUGCUCGGAAUUACUGGGCGUAAAGGGCGCGUAGGCGGCCUGCUAAGUCGAACGUGAAAUCCCCGGGCUCAACCCGGGAACUGCGUCCGAUACUGGCAGGCUUGAAUUCGGGAGAGGGAUGUGGAAUUCCAGGUGUAGCGGUGAAAUGCGUAGAUAUCUGGAGGAACACCGGUGGCGAAGGCGGCAUCCUGGACCGAGAUUGACGCUGAUGCGCGAAAGCCAGGGGAGCAAACGGG